rnacentral:rRNA from 1 species
GGAGUUUGGGCCGUGUCUCAGUCCCAAUGUGGCCGUCCGCCCUCUCAGGCCGGCUACUGAUCGUCGCCUUGGUGGGCCGUUACCUCACCAACUAGCUAAUCAGACGCGGGUCCAUCUCAUACCUAUAAAUAUUUUCACACCAGAUCAUGCGAUCCUGUGCGCUUAUGCGGUGUUAUCAGUCGUUUCCAACUGCUAUCCCCCUGUAUGAGGCAGGUUACCCACGCGUUACUCACCCGUCCGCCACUAAGUUUAACAAGAAUCUGCCGAAGCUUCAUCAGCGUUAAACUCCGUUCGACUUGCAUGUGUUAGGCACGCCGCCAGCGUUCAUC